GAAAACAGGCUCAAGUAGGCUGAGUAACUUACAAGGCUACAUAGUUAGAAUAUGACAAAGCCACCUUCAAAUCAGUCUGGCCAUAAACCUGGAGCUUCGGACAACCAGUAUAUCUACCAAACCCUGAAGGUUCCUACCAAGUCGGAAAAGUGAAAACAACGUCAAUUCUUUCCUGAAUUGAAGAUAAUGACCACAGUGUAUUUAGGAAGUUAUAUUUAAAUCUAAAUUAUAUUUAGAACACCUCUGUUUAGCAGCGUGGCUGGGGGCGACUCUCCACCAGGACAGAUCUCAGUGGAAACAAGAAGGACUGAACUUCCAGGAGACCCCUCAUUUGAGUGGGUAAGAGAAGGCUCUCCCUGCCCCCCGCUGUGACCACCGGCUGCUGCUGUUCACAAAUUAGGUUUCAGGAAGCUCAUACAAAUGCCUCCCACAGGAUCCCUCUGUUAUUUGACAUGAUCUUGAAAUAAUCCCUUCAAAGCCAG
rnacentral:lncRNA from 1 species